UCCGAACUGAAGACAAGGGAAACAACAUCGCAUCAAGAUGGAUGGUGGACGGUGCAUCUACAGCCGAAUGGAGAUGACUGUGGCUUCGAUGGUCUCAAUCUUCCAUCAGUAUGCCACAAAGGAAGUUGGAGAGGGAGUGGAAGUAAAAUGCAUGAUGAAAACAGAUGAUUUCUCUCAAUUGAUGAAGAAUGAGUUCCCCCAUGUAGCUAAACUUGCUGAGAACCAAGAUUUUAUGGAGAACAUGUUGAAGUCCUUUGAUAUAGACCAAAACCACCACAUGGAUUUCAUUGAGUUUUUAAAUUUGGUGGGUAAAAUAGCAAUGGAGGGCAAUGAAACCUGGGCGAGAAUUCGAUGGGAACACCAGAAGUAAAUGUGAAGGCAAUCCCGGUGCACUUCACUCCACCCUGGACGUCCUGCGCGACAGAAACACUGAUGAUUGAAACAUUCAUUUGUUUUCA